CGAGGAAGAACAUCGCCUCGCUGGAAGGAGCCUAUCGCUGGAGGAUGCCUGCUGCGGUGGUGGAGGUCCUCUCCUUCACUCGACUGCUCUAUUGCCCUCCACGGCACCUAAAGUGAGACAUCCAUCACGGCCUCUUUCCGUUUUGCCAUUUCUCGUCGAAAUCUAUGCGCCGUUGCUCAUCCUAGCUUUUUCCGGUGAUGCUCCGGCCAUGGCGCCGCCGUGUUGCACAUGGCGCCGCCGCGUAUAGUCGUCGUCCUCCUUAGUCGAGGAAAGAUGAUGCAUCCGUGGCCCUCAGAUCCAAAAUUAAUGGCAUCGAUUAUAUAUCUAUCAGAUACCUCUUCGUAUGAACCCGGUUCACCGUAGACCGAUCUGGCCAGCUCGCAUCGCAUCGGCCAUCGCAUCUCUUCCCACUCCAUGCCUCGAUUCCCUUCCGCGCCGCCACCCACUCGUGUUCCGAACUUUCGCUGCGCCGCCACCCUACCUCGCGUCGCGUCCUCCCUCAUCUCAUCCAGGGGCGGACCCAAGUGGCACCCGUCAUACCCUAGGAUCAGGCCCAGCACAAGUUGUCGGCAGUUUCCCGUCCACCAGCAGAUUUUCCCAUUCGCCGGUGCUAGCAGAUUCUCCCGUCCGCCGACUCCUCUAUGGUCAGCCAUCACUCGUCGUUCCCCACCGGCGGCUGGUGCUCCUGGAAGCGACGGCGCCGCAUCACGCGUGACGGCGAUCCCGUGCACUGCCCCCUGAACGCACUCCUCAGCACUCGUCCAGGCCGAACCUGCUUGCCGUCCAUCAGGCCGAGGUGAUUCACGUCCUCUCUCCUCCCAUGCAGUCUCCUCUGUCUUUUUUUCUCUGUGCUCUCCCAGAAUAGUAGAUGGAGAUCUAGACAAUUAGGCAUCUGGUUAUCUUAGCAUGUAAAUAGGUUGCAACUUGCAAUUGAUGUGAGCGUACUAUUUAAAUGUUAUUAUAUUCCAUUGAGAUUAACAGUUGCAGAUCCCUGGUCAUGAAUUUCGUCCUUGCUCAUAGUGUAUUGUUAAUUUAAAUGUUUAUCCUAUCUCAAUUCAUUUUGUGAGCUUGCUUAUUGCAGCUUAUAACGGUAUUUCUUUCUCACUUCAACUAUACUAAUGAGAUUAAUGAGGUCGAUUUCUACAUAGACCAAAGCAAAUCCUUACAGACAGAGAAUGCCAGACUAAGAGAUUUGGAAAUUGAAAGAGAAGACAAGGUUGCUGCUUUUGAUAGAGCGAUAAUUCUUGAAGGGAGGCUCUGAACAUAGUCUGAGAUCAGACAGAAGAUAGAAGCUGUUCAUUUUACUUCAUUAUUCCUCAAGUAAGUUAGUCUGCCACUGAUAAAUUAGGAGAUCAGAGGUGUAACGGGAUGGGACACUGUAAUAGUGCUCUGAAUCUUGUGAAAUGUCUGAACUAUGGUGUAAGUUGAGUUCAAUGAGCUUGAGGAGAGCUCGGUCCUUGCGACAACCAUGCGCGUGGUACGAUUCGCUUUCUUGGACAUGGCAUAAUGCUCUGAAUGAUCUCCAAUCAUUGUUGCAGAAGGUGCACAUUUUUCUCCAUUCAGUUUUUCUGCAUCCAGAGCUGAUAAAGUAUGCAUCUCUUGCACAUUACUAUAGCAUUUCUGAGUUACACCAAAUUCAGGUUGGCAAGGGGUUGAGAAAGUCUGAACCCUAAUCUUUGUGCACUGGCUUAAAGCAGUGAAGAAGUGAGCAGUAGCCAACUUCUAGAUGGUUAGAUACCAUGUGAUGAUGUGAAGCAUAUACUGAUGUGAACCGCUAAAAUUUCACCAAUCUUCACUGCCACUAUGACUGCUGGCUGCAGCACAAUAGCAAGGGGUCCUUCUACGGGUUAGUAUCAUAGAAACUGUCAAUAAUAUCUGUGGCUUCUGAAGUUUUCAAGAAACCUUGAGUAGAAUUGGCAUUUUACUACAUUUGUUCAGGCUCGAAGUUUGAUAAGGCUCUGAAAAUAAUCUUGAAAAGUGCGGGCACUGGAGCUUCUAAGUGAGUGCAUGCCAGAACUGAUCAAUUGUUCUUUAAAUCUCUCUUCUUAGUGUGGAAUGUUAGAACUUAGAAGGGAUACCUGAUGUAUAACUACUCUGAAAAACAAUUUAGAAUGUUACAGUUAAUGAAGCUGUUCUUUUUCUUCCAAAUGAAGAUUCCGUUGCUGAGCCAUUCAUGCCAAGUUCAUAAGCUUUUGUUAGUUCUUUGCCUAUGUCGACAUGUAUAUUUUGUUGUAGCCUACUACCACCAAUGCCAUUGCUUGUUCGAAAUGUGUAAGAUUUGUAGAGAAUCAUUUUGGGAGGUUAAAAGUCUAUGGAAUGGUGUAAAAGAGGAUCAGGAUCUAGAUGACCUGCAUCAAUGCUAGAAAAAGGCAUGUUCUUUUAUGAUAUGCUCUAUCAAUGUCCUUCCAGCAAUUUCUUUUCAUAGUUUCAUAUGUUUAGAACUCUUGUAGGUUUGAUGAAAUAAUACAUUCCCAAAUAUUUCCACAAUGUGUCCUUUCUUAUCUCCAUUAGUAUGUUAGAUGAAUUCUUUCUGGUUUGGUUUGGGACUGAGAAAAAUAAUUGAGAAGCUUCUCACUUUUCUUUUGGCCAUAAUAAAAAUUGCUGUGCUGCUUUGCUCUUCUCAUCAGGGACCUUGCUUGGGGCUGUUCUUGGUCAGGCUUCUCAAUUCGACCUGCGCUUAAUGGUAAGCUCCAAUUGUGCUGGCAUCCUCUCCUGAGCCGCAGAGCAUACCAUCUAUGACCGCAUCGCAAAUGUGGCUUGCAUCUGCAAGGUGGCCUGGGGUGCAACUGCCCAACAGCCUAGCUGAUCUUCCAGGAGGAGGAGGAGGUUUUUGGCUUCACCAACUAGGACAGACUCACGUAGAAGUUCUGUUGUCAAUGGUCAGUCCAUAUAUCACUCUUUAGUGUCCAUGUGAAGCUGUAAGACAUCAAAUGACAGUAGUGAGGAGACAAGAAAGACAUUGAUGUGAAUUCAGCAUUGCCCUGGAGGUGUAACUAAGCCGUUUUGCGUGUGUUAACUAGAAUAAAGGAACAGAAGAGGAAUUGGAGGAUGUAUUUACAGAGUCCUUCAUUGUUGUGCAGAAUCUUUGUGCUGGGAGUGCUACCUUAUUCGGUCCGAUAUGCUUCCAGCUUUAAUUUCUCCAGUGCUGGCACAACGAAUUCUUAGGACUGGCAAGGCAGUCAACUUUCUUAGAGUUUGCUGUGAUGAUAGUUGCUGGGCUGCUGCUGCUGCCGAGGCUGCUGCAUAUGUUGGCACCACAACAUCUCGAGGUGGGCUUGGUUAUGCAGAGACAGAUGCUUUGGAGGCAUUGGUUGAGGCAACCAAGAGGAUUGAUACACAUUUGAUGGGCUGUGAUGAUGGUUUUGUAGACCACUUUAUAAUGAGUAUUCAGUCUUGAUUUGCCAACAUAAUUAAGCAAACCGAAAGAGUAGCUAGAAGCUGUAUUUGGUGUUGUAGCCCACUGUUGAUCUAUAUUAAAAGAUAGUCUGGGUACUGGAUGAAAAUGGCAGCAUUGUAUCAAUAAUUACUUAAGCUAAUUUAUCUGCAAGACAACAAACAUACCAUUUUAAUACUUUUCA